rnacentral:rRNA from 1 species
AUGGAUAACCCGUUGAAGACGACGAGAGACGAGCAGGACAAUAUAACAAAUGAACACCAGAACUGCAGUUCCAUGGCAAAAGAUAAUAACUCUAAUUUGCAGCAAGUUGGUGAUAUACGGGAGACAACAUCGUCCAUGAAAGAAGCUUUAAUCAUCGGAAGGACCAAAGAAAAACAGAAAAUAUUGUCAAUUUUAUCUGAGAGCAGCACACAAGAGAUCACAUUCCUUCCAACAUAUGGUAUUGGAGGCAUUGGGAAGACAACCAUGGCACAAUUGAUUUUCAAUGAUCUCCAGUUCAAAGAGUACUCUCGGGUUUGGACCUAUGUUUCCCAGACAUUUGAUAUGAAGAAAAUUGGGAAUUCUACAAUAACACAGCUAUCUGGUAACAAGAGUGAGCAUACUGACCUUCAGAUGAUAGAAAAUAGCCUACAAAAGCUCCUUUCUGGUAAGAGGGUUCUAAUCAUCUUAGAUGACCUGUGGGAGAGGCAAUCAUCUCAGUUAAAAAAGUUGGAGGGUAUGCUAAAGCUGGGUGAAGGGGGCAAAGUGGUGGUGGUAGUAACCACACGAGAAGAAUCUAUAGCACAGAAUAUUCACACAGACACAGUGGAGCCAUACAAGCUAGCUCCCUUGACAGAUGACAUUUGUUGGACUAUCAUAAAAAUUAAAAGUUCAUUUGAAUCUAGGGCUGAAAGAGUGCAGUUAGAGUUGAUCGGAAAGGAAAUUGCAAAGAAGUGUGGAGUUCUAGCUUUAGUAGCCCAAUCUAUUGGGUAUACAUUGGGCAACAUGGAAUUCGAUGAAUGGGUGUCGGUGAACAACAGUGAGAUCUGGGAUGUGCUUGCCACCGGAGAAUAUUCACCUGAUCAUGUGCAUGCAUCCUUACAGCUAACCUAUCACCGUAUGGAUCCAUACUUGAAGUUAUGCUUUGCUUAUUGCGCAACCUUUCCAAAAGGUCACUGGAUGGCUAUAGAAGAUCUAAUUUACCAAUGGAUUGCUCUUGGACUUGUUGAGCCAUCAAGGACAUUAUCUAAUAUACAAACCGGUCAUAAAUAUAUUCGUCAUCUUUUCGGCACGUGCUUCAUUGAACAUCCUUCUUGGUCACAAUCGUUUCUCUUCAUUGUUCAUGAAGCCUGA